GGCUGAAGUCUGAAGCAAACACAGUCAUAGCCCAUUGAGGACGCUGUAUUUUUGACUGCACAGAGAAGAAGGAGUAUUUAAAGGAAUAGAGUGAGGUGUCUGGAUUUUCUGAAAAACUCACUCAAUACCAAGGCACGGAAGUGACAUACUUCCUGAAGAAAACACCUCAAACAAACAAGCACCUCACCUGACUCUUCUGUCAAGAUCUGUUCUU
rnacentral:lncRNA from 1 species